rnacentral:rRNA from 1 species
GAUGAACGCUGGCGGCGUGCCUAAUACAUGCAAGUCGAGCGAACAGACGAGGAGCUUGCUCCUCUGACGUUAGCGGCGGACGGGUGAGUAACACGUGGAUAACCUACCUAUAAGACUGGGAUAACUUCGGGAAACCGGAGCUAAUACCGGAUAAUAUAUUGAACCGCAUGGUUCAAUAGUGAAAGACGGUUUUGCUGUCACUUAUAGAUGGAUCCGCGCCGCAUUAGCUAGUUGGUAAGGUAACGGCUUACCAAGGCAACGAUGCGUAGCCGACCUGAGAGGGUGAUCGGCCACACUGGACUGAGACACGGUCCAGACUCCUACGGGAGGCAGCAGUAGGGAAUCUUCCGCAAUGGGCGAAAGCUUGACGGAGCAACGCCGCGUGAGUGAUGAAGGUCUUCGGAUCGUAAAACUCUGUUAUUAGGGAAGAACAAAUGUGUAAGUAACUAUGCACGUCUUGACGGUACCUAAUCAGAAAGCCACGGCUAACUACGUG